rnacentral:rRNA from 1 species
GACGUAGGGGGCAAGCGUUGUCCGGAAUUAUUGGGCGUAAAGCGCGUGUAGGCGGCUCGGUAAGUCUGCUGUGAAAGUCCAGGGCUCAACCCUGGAAUGCCGGUGGAUACUGUCGAGCUCGAGUCCGGAAGAGGCGAGUGGAAUUCCUGGUGUAGCGGUGAAAUGCGCAGAUAUCAGGAGGAACACCAAUGGCGAAGGCAGCUCGCUGGGACGGUACUGACGCUGAGACGCGAAAGCGUGGGGAGCAAACAGG